GACGAACGCUGGCGGCGUGCUUAACACAUGCAAGUCGAACGGGAUCCGGGCUUUCGGGUUUGGUGAGAGUGGCGAACGGGUGAGUAACACGUGAGUAACCUGCCCCCUUCUUUGGGAUAACGUCGGGAAAUCGGCGCUAAUACUGGAUAUUCUUGCUGCAUCGCAUGGUGUGGUUUGGAAAGGGUUUCUGGUGGGGGAUGGGCUCGCGGCCUAUCAGCUUGUUGGUGGGGUGAUGGCCUACCAAGGCUUUGACGGGUAGCCGGCCUGAGAGGGUGUCCGGCCACACUGGGACUGAGACACGGCCCAGACUCCUACGGGAGGCAUCAGUGGGGAAUAUUGCACAAUGGGCGCAAGCCUGAUGCAGCGACGCCGCGUGAGGGAUGACGGCCUUCGGGUUGUAAACCUCUUUCAGUAUGGAACAAGGAUCCUUCUUUUGGGGGGUUUGAGGGUACGUGCAGAAGAAGCGCCGGCUAACUACGUG
rnacentral:rRNA from 1 species